UACGUAGGUGGCAAGCGUUAUCCGGAAUUACUGGGCGUAAAGCGCACGCAGGCGGCGCAUCAAGUUCGACGUGAAAGCUCCCGGCUUAACUGGGAGAGGUCGUUGAAGACUGAUGGGCUUGAGGCAAUGAGAGGGGUGUAGAAUUCCCGGUGUAGUGGUGGAAUGCGUAGAUAUCGGGAGGAAUACCAGUGGCGAAAGCGGCACCCUAGCAUUAGCCUGACGCUCAUGUGCGAAAGCGUGGGGAGCAAACAGG
rnacentral:rRNA from 1 species